CUGAGGAAGGCAGGGCCAUGGGCUUGGAGGCGGGACACGCGUCAGUAGCAGGUGGCGGCGGGGCUAUGGAGCUCAAGGAUGGAGCAAAUGUCAACAGGCACAGAUGAUGGGAGGUUUAACUGACGCUGCUGCACUGGAUACCCCACCCCGGUGCCGGGCACAUAGGUGCAGCCUGAGAGUAAGCAGACCUGGGUUGGAAGGUCCCGCGAUUCACCACCGACAGGAUGGGCGGCCUUGGCAACCCCCGACCCCUCGCAGGCCUGUUCCCUUAUCCAUGAGAUGGAACUCGGACAAGGUGGCCACAGGAAGGCUUUGCAAACUGUGAAGUGCAGUGCCUACGUGGGCGUGCCAGUGGCCUCGCCGGAGCCGGUAGGGAACACUCUGCAGUCCAGGCCAGGGCCCCGGUAGGACACCCAGCUGUGCAUCCCGCCCGUGGCCGCAAGGCCCGCACCUUGGCCAACAGGAGCAGGGUGCGGCUGGUGCGGGCGUCCGCGUGGCGCUCCCGCAGGUGGAAGAGCUUGGGCGACAUGAUGGCGGGAGAGAAGAAGCGCAGGCACAGGAAGCUGGUGACGGCGAUGAACGGUACAUUCUGGAGGGGUGCGGAAGAGCGCGGGCUGGAGUCCCCCAGACCAGGGCUCCUGGCAGCCCCCUCCCCUUAGGCUCCGUCCCUGACCCUCGCCGGGACACAGCCUCCCUGGUCCUCCCCAGCGCUCCCUGGUUCCCCACCGCUCUUCGCCCGCCCCUCGCCCCAGCCCAGUCCAACCCGGCCCAGCCUAGCCCAGCGGGUGGAGGGCGCACCUCGUGCUGGGCGCCGGGGAAGCGCUCGCGCACGCGCCGGAAGAGCUGGCGGAAGGUGGCGCGCACCACGGCGGGGCACGCGGGAACCGAGCGGCUGAGCGCGCUCAGCAGGGCCCCCAGGUGGGCGCGCAGCGUCUGCGCGCUCUGCUCCAGCACCUCGGCCUCGGUCUGCGGGCGGUGCAGCCCGGAACACCUGCGUGGAACGGGGCGGGUUGGCAGAGGAGGUCACGGUCAGCGCCAGGGCCACGACAGGAACAGUGGCUCUCACAGCAGCCGGGACACGGACACAGGGGACAAUACACGGGUGGGCAGAAGCACAAACACACAUGCUGACAGGGCCUGAUCCCAACCCGCUGCCGCUGCGCCCCGCACCCCCCCGGAGUUACCCCCGGCCUCACCCUACAUCCUUAACUUCCACUUUGCUGGGGUCCAGCUCCACGUACUUCUCCUCAAACACCUUGUUGAUGAUGGGGCCCAGGACGCCGUGCAGGUACUGCAUCCCGGCCACCUGGGGACCACCGCAGG
rnacentral:lncRNA from 10 species